AGAAUCAACGCUGGCGGCGUGCCUAACACAUGCAAGUCGAACGAGAAAGUGGAGCAAUCCAUGAGUAAAGUGGCGCACGGGUGAGUAACACGUGACUAACCUACCCUUGAGUGGGGGAUAACCUAGGGAAACCUGGGCUAAUACCGCAUAAUACCUUCGGGUCAAAGGAGCAAUUCGCUUAAGGAGGGGGUCGCGGCCGAUUAGUUAGUUGGCGGGGUAAUGGCCCACCAAGACUAUGAUCGGUAU
rnacentral:rRNA from 1 species